UCCUAGCCUUUUAAUUGGAGGCCUGCAUGAAUGGCUUGACGAGCGCCCUGCUGUCUCUCUUCCCAUGAACUUUUAAAUUAACUUUUGCGUGCAAAGGCGCGAAUGGCUGAGUUAGACGAAAAGACCCUAUGCAUCUUUACUGAGAGAGAAGAAAGUUCUUUAGCUUGGUUUAGCUGGGGCAGCUGAGGAAAAGGCAAAAUUUCCUUAAUAUAAAUCAUACUGGUGGGUUUAGAUCCAGGCUCUUUAGCGGGCUUGACAAGUAGAAAAGUUACGCUAGGGAUAACAGCGUUAUCCUUCUGUGGAGGUCUUAUCUGCAGGAGGGAUUGCGACCUCGAUGUUGAAUUAGGGAUAUACCAGAAAGGCGCAGAAGCUUUUAUUGUGGG
rnacentral:rRNA from 1 species